UACGUAGGGUCCGAGCGUUGUCCGGAAUUAUUGGGCGUAAAGGGCUCGUAGGCGGUUUGUCGCGUCGGGAGUGAAAACUCAGGGCUCAACCCUGAGCGUGCUUCCGAUACGGGCAGACUAGAGGUAUGCAGGGGAGAACGGAAUUCCUGGUGUAGCGGUGGAAGUGACGCAGACUAUCAGGAGGAACACCGGUGGCGAAGGCGGUUCUCUGGGCAUUACCUGACGCUGGAGGAGCGAAAGCAUGGGGAGCGAACAGG
rnacentral:rRNA from 1 species